GGGCCGUUAGCUCAACCGGCAGAGCAGGGGCCUCUUAAGCCCAAGGUUGCAGGUUCGAUUCCUGCACGGCCCA
rnacentral:tRNA from 1 species